rnacentral:rRNA from 1 species
UAAUACGUAGGGGGCCAGCGUUGCUCGGAAUUACUGGGCGUAAAGGGUUCGUAGGUGGUGCGGCAAGUUGGGAGUGAAAUCUCUGGGCUUAACCCAGAGGCUGCUUUCAAAACUGCCGCGCUCGAGUGCGAGAGAGGUCAGUGGAAUUGCAGGUGUAGCGGUGAAAUGCGUAGAUAUCUGCAGGAACACCCGUGGCGAAGGCGGCU